GAUGAACGCUGACAGAAUGCUUAACACAUGCCAGUCAACUUGAAUUUGGGUUUUUAACUUGGGUUUGGGUGGCGGACGGGUGAGUAACGCGUAAAGAACUUGCCUCACAGCUAGGGACAACAUUUGGAAACGAAUGCUAAUACCUAAUAUUAUGAUAAUAGGGCAUCCUAUAAUUAUGAAAGCUAUAAGCGCUGUGAGAGAGCUUUGCGUCCCAUUAGCUAGUUGGAGAGGUAACGGCUCGCCAAGGCGAUGAUGGGUAGCCGGCCUGAGAGGGUGAUCGGCCACAAGGGGACUGAGACACGGCCCUUACUCCUACGGGAGGCAGCAGUGGGGAAUAUUGGACAAUGGACCAAGAGUCUGAUCCAGCAAUUCUGUGUGCACGAUGAAGUUUUUCGGAAUGUAAAGUGCUUUCAGUUGGGAAGAAAGAAAUGACGGUACCAACAGAAGAAGUGACGGCUAAAUACGUG
rnacentral:rRNA from 1 species